rnacentral:tRNA from 1 species
UUAAUUGAAGCCAAAACGAGAGGCCUUUCAUUGUUAAUGAAAUAAAUGAUUUAUUAAUCCAAUUAAA